CAGUCGCCACGGUAAAACGUAGGGUGCGAGCGUUAAUCGGAAUUACUGGGCGUAAAGCGUGCGCAGGCGGUUUGUUAAGACGGAUGUGAAAUCCCCGGGCUCAACCUGGGAACUGCAUUUGUGACUGGCAAGCUAGAGUAUGGCAGAGGGGGGUGGAAUUCCGCGUGUAGCAGUGAAAUGCGUAGAUAUGCGGAGGAACACCGAUGGCGAAGGCAGCCCCCUGGGCCAAUACUGACGCUCAUGCACGAAAGCGUGGGGAGCAAACAGGAUUAGAGACCCCAGUAGUCCCUGUCUCUUAUAC
rnacentral:rRNA from 1 species